UACGAAGGGUGCGAGCGUUAUUCGGAGUUAUUGGGCGUAAAGAGCGCGUAGGCGGUCAUGUAAGUCAGUUGUUAAAGAACCCAGCUUAACUGGGUAAAGGCGAUUGAAACUGCGUGGCUAGAGGGUAAGAGAGAUAAGCGGAAUUCUCGGAGUAGCGGUAAAAUGCGUAGAUCUCGAGAGGAACACCGGUGGCGAAGGCGGCUUAUUGGCUUACAUCUGACGCUAAAGUGCGAAAGCGUGGGGAGCAAACAGG
rnacentral:rRNA from 1 species